GGACGGGUGGCCGAGUGGUUUAAGGCGCACGCCUGGAAAGUGUGUGUACGUUUAUAGCGUACCGUGGGUUCGAAUCCCACCCCGUCCG
rnacentral:tRNA from 2 species